rnacentral:rRNA from 1 species
AACGAACGCUGGCGGCAUGCCUAACACAUGCAAGUCGAACGAAGCCUUCGGGCUUAGUGGCGCACGGGUGCGUAACGCGUGGGAAUCUGCCCUUUGCCUCGGAAUAACAGUUAGAAAUGACUGCUAAUACCGGAUGAAGUCUUCGGACCAAAGAUUUAUCGGCAAGGGAUGAGCCCGCGUAGGAUUAGGUAGUUGGUGGGGUAAAGGCCUACCAAGCCGACGAUCCUUAGCUGGUCUGAGAGGAUGAUCAGCCACACUGGGACUGAGACACGGCCCAGACUCCUACGGGAGGCAGCAGUGGGGAAUAUUGGACAAUGGACGCAAGUCUGAUCCAGCAAUGCCGCGUGAGUGAUGAAGGCCUUAGGGUUGUAAAGCUCUUUUACCAGGGAUGAUAAUGACAGUACCUGGAGAAUAAGCUCCGGCUAACUCCGUG